rnacentral:rRNA from 1 species
CCUACGGGCGGCAGCAGUGGGGAAUAUUGGACAAUGGGGGGAACCCUGAUCCAGCGACGCCGCGUGAGUGAAGAAGUAUUUCGGUAUGUAAAGCUCUAUCAGCAGGGAAGAAAAUGACGGUACCUGACUAAGAAGCCCCGGCUAACUACGUGCCAGCAGCCGCGGCAAUACGUAGGGGGCAAGCGUUAUCCGGAUUUACUGGGUGUAAAGGGGGCGUAGACGGAGCAGCAAGUCUGAUGUGAAAGGUCGGGGCGCAACCCCGGGACUGCAUUGGAAACUGUUGAACUGGAGAACAGGAGAGGUAAGCGGAAUGCAUGGUGUAGCGGUGAAAUGCGUAGAUAUUAGGCGGAACACCAGUGGCGAAGGCGGCUUACUGGACUGUAACUGACGUUGAGGCUCGAAAGCGUGGGGAGCAAACAGGAUUAGAUACCCGAGUAGUC